GUCUUUCUCCCCUGGGUUACCUUAAUACCCUGGUUAAAAUCACAGAAAUAUAUACUCUGGUAUAAGGCAUCUUUCCCACUCUCAACUCCUGGAAGUGUUCGAUUUGGACUCCUAAGACUGCAUUAUCCACCCAACAAAACCUGUCUGAGUCUUUCUCCCCUGGGUUACCUUAAUACCCUGGUUAAAAUCACAGAAAUAUAUACUCUGGUAUAAGGCAUCUUUCCCACUCUCAACUCCUGGAAGUGUUCGAUUUGGACUCCUAAGACUGCAUUAUCCACCCAACA